ACUCAGGGUGCUUCUAACCCUAGUUGCAGGUGAACCCGAAGUGGUGUUCGGCCACUUCUACCCCGCCGAUUUAGGCGCGGGGGAGGAGUAGGUCGUUGAGGCUGGGAUGGUGUCCUUGAGCAAGACAUCAUCAUUGUAGUAAGUUUCUUCGUAAUCGAACUCCGUGAGAGCAUGUAAAUAUAAUAAUCCUUAAGUUUUUGAUUAAUAUGGUUUCCGUGAGCCCAAGGUUUGUAAUGAAGUUAGGGUGAACCCACCUAUAUCAAAUUUGUAAUAAUAAGUGAAUAAAAUUGCUCUUUGUGGAUCAUCAGCAAUGUAUGCGUUGGUAUAACGGUACGUGUGCUUAAUCCUGGGCAUGUGGCAAACACGUACCGGGACUACCGGAUUUGCUCUCGUUCUGGGUGAAGUGUGUUGAUUAAGUGCCUCUAAGGCGUGGAUUAGCAUGUGGCAUGUCGAGAGACGGACGCGUGCUAGCCCUCGUCUUAAAGGAUUAAUCAAUAAUUUCACCUAAACCGAGGGUAAAUUGGGCGGUUCUCACAACGGGUAUCAGAGCUAAGGUUUCAUGAAGUGAACCUAAAAUUGGCUUAGUGGGUUGAGAGUCAAAUAAAAUUUGACUACUUGCACUAAGAUUUUCUUUGGUUAAAAAUUUGAACUUAAGGUAAAAUGCUAACUUUCUUCCUUUGUCUUAGAGCUAAUUCUUUCUUACUGCUUCACUUGUUUAAUUAAGAUGUGCUUAACCCCUCUUGUCUUCAUGAGUAGCGGGAGCGUAGGAAAACCUUCUUACCCUUUGGAAACCUGUUGAGCCAUCUACCGGGGUUGAGAGGGAGGGAAUCACCCAUUGUCCUGAGUGCUAGUAGGAGGGUUGUAGCGCUGCUGGGCAAUACAGUUGCUUCGGGUCGUAAGGGAGUGCUAGGACGUUAAGGUGUGCUCACGAUGUGAGGAGACGUCAUGUUGCAUUCAUACUUUGCAUGCAUGCAUCAUAUCAUACAUAUUGUGUUGCUUUGGGUGUUUGCUAAUAUUUUCGUAUAAGUCUCUUCACACCUUUGCACAUCUCACUUUUGAUAGACUUAGUAUGGUUAGAAACGUAGGAAAACAUAUGCGUGUUUUUGAACAAAACCUAAUUACUUGUUCAAACAAUUGAUAUGCAGAGUUUUGAAUCUAAGUUUCACUUUCUAAGGUUCUAUAACCUUUCCUGACAUUUCUUGCCAUCAUAAAUGUUAGCUUCAAAGACAAUUUGGAGAAAUAUAUAGGUCAUCUUUGUCUCUCGGGUCAUACAUUUGAAUGCUCGACGAUAAUCCAUCCCGAUGAUUCUUGAUAACUAGAAGCAUCAUGUUGUUCUUCUAGUGUUCAUGUUCGUUCAUUUCUAAUCGCUUUGAUUCAUACACCUAACUCCGAUCUGUUUACAUUCUUGCUCAAAUAAACAUGAAUAAGGUCGCAUAUUUAUUGCAUUACAUAAUCACAUGUUGUUUGGGUGUGGGUUUGACAUAGUGAAAUCCGCAUGAUAGACUAACUGACGUUAUGUGUCCCGUAUGUCUGCGUAAAGCUUUUGAUGUUUUUGAAAUCUGAAAAACCUCUCUCUCAAUUUGUGCUACUUGGGUUGCUCCCUAUGAUUUUCUUUUGUAAUGGUGAUCAUUUCACGAACUAUAGUGCCGCGACGGAACCUAGGGCCUCGUAUGGACUGCAGUCAUACGACUGUGCCACUGGGUGCGCGCUGGUGCUUAAGUAUGUGUGGAUAUGAACUACAACUGUCUUUUCAUGCAACUCUUAAAAUGUUUUUCUCUACCUCGUCUUCUUUAAGGGGGUAGGCUCUAGACGAAUAACGAUGCGAAUGGGUUGUCUUAGUGUUGAGUUUCUAGGGGUAUUUGUACACUAACUGGCAUGUCAACAUGUGCAUCUUGCAUCAUGCAACUCAAUUAAUAAGCAAUAUCGAGCAAGAAUGUUCUUGAGAAAAACUUGCCUUGAUACCCUUCCUUUUCAGUUUCCACGAGCUCCUUAAGAACUCACCUUGACAUCUUCUCUGUAUAGGAUCACCGCCAAAUUGAGAAUUUGAUUCUUCCAGAACUUCGAACCUCUCUUCUCUGCCAAAUCUUACUAUGUGCCAGCAUUAGAAUAGUUAACCGGCCCUUUUCAGCCGACUUUGAUGGUGAUUAUGUUCACAUAUAUUAUCCACAGUCACUCGCUGCAGACAAUCUGGUUGUUAUGAAACUUAUUUCUUCCGGACCCAUGUCGAGCAAGGAAUUAGCAAAUCAGCUAGCAAUGUUUAUACCAUUAAACCCAGCUAUGUUGAUUAAUCUAGAGACUAGCACCCACUUCGACCGAUUCUUGUCCCUGAGUUUAUCGAUUAUUAUCAUUUAUCUCAUCUCCACUUAAAUCUCGGGACGAGAUUUCUUUAAGGGGGUAGGAUUGUAACACCCCAAAUAUUUUACCUGGGUGUAGGGCCUAGCUGUCAUCUCCUCUUCCUUCUCCCGUGCUUAUCCUCGCUCCCGAAGCCUCCCGAACCGGCCAGCUCACUUCCGUGCUCAAGUCGCCCACGCCUCUCCCUCUCCCUCUCGUGCGUGUGCUGAGCCAUGGCUGCCACGGCCACGAGCCGAGCUCGCCCCUGCCGGAGCCCCAUGUCCCCCAAACCCUAGCCCCCUUCCUCCAUUGCUGCCGCCACCCCAAGCUCCGCUUGCCGCCGGCCGCCGUCGAUUGCCUCCUCCGGUGCCCCGCUGGAGCUCUCCUAUCGGCGCUGCCUGUUCUUGUUGCGCCGUCCCCUCCGCCGCCGUUCCUGCAGUCUGUGUCGCCGCACGGCCGCUUGCUGGUCACCUGCGUGCGUGUUCUGUGGAGAAGAGAAGAUGAACAUGACUGAACCGUCGGAGAACGAACCCGUUGAGCCUGCCGAGUCCGUCGAGCCUGAACCCGGAAUCCCGUUCAUGGUCGAGCCCGAAGUUAACCCAGGCAAGCAGCUAAGCAUGAUUCUUUACUCCUAUUUAAUCUGAGUUAGUUAGUUACAUCACCGGGUAAUAUGGGGUUAUAUAGUAUGUAUGUAUUGCAUUUUGAUACCUAUUCUCUUGCAUUACCCUUCUUUGAAUUGUUAUCCAUGUCCUUGUCACUUGUUAGUUAGUUAACAACUUAAUCUGAUUAGAUGCUUAGU